rnacentral:rRNA from 1 species
UACGGAGGGUGCGAGCGUUGUCCGGAAUCACUGGGCGUAAAGGGCGCGUAGGCGGCAGGCCAAGUGUGCGGUGAAAGUCCGGGGCUCAACCCCGGAUCUGCCGUGCGGACUGGUUUGCUAGAGCACUGUAGAGGCGAGUGGAAUUCCGGGUGUAGCGGUGGAAUGCGUAGAGAUCCGGAAGAACACCGGUGGCGAAGGCGGCUCUCUGGGACGGUACUGACGCUGAGACGCGAAAGCGUGGGGAGCGAACAGG